GACUCGAUGGCAAGAAAGUAGCCAGGUGGCAGCGUUUCUCUAGGAAAAAUCACAUACCGUUGGGAUAUCUUGCGCUCAAAAAAUUUUGGCGAACACACCUCAAAAAAUCUCGCGCUCUUUCUCUCUCUCUCUCUACUCACAUGUGGGCCCAUCAAACCCCAAGCCUUAUCAUUUCAGCUUCCUCCCAUUUCUUCUCCCAGAAAUUCACCUCGUGCGCUCUUUCUCUCGCUACUAAGAUUCACCUCAUGUUCUACUUCUUCCGCUUCUCAAAUCUAGAGUGCUGGUAACGGUGGGGGCUAGAUCCGGUGGCUCCAUGCAGGGUGAUGAGAUUGGCUGGUCUCUCCUUCAACUUGGCUGCUGCACUGGCGUUGGAUCUGACCACGCCACGAUCCAAGUCGCCCCACAACGUACGCCGCCGUGCUCUCUAGCUGGGCGAUAGCUGGGAUAACUAGGCUCGAGAAGCAUCCACAGCGACAAAGACGCGCAGACGGUGCCGGUGGCCGCAAGAUGCGCAGCACGCUCAAUCCAGUAAGCCUUCUUCUCCUUAUUUCUUAUCAUCAAUUUUGUUCAGGUCGUCAAUUCCAUUCGCUCGUUGAUUCAUGGCCCAGAGGUGGCUAAUCAAGAUUUGAUCUUGGCCUUGCAGAAGCAGGCUAUGCUAAACAUGUGCUGCUCCAGUAACCUCUGAUGAUGGAAGCUUGCAAGAUGCAAAGGCUAAUUUAGUGGCGUUGUGUGUUGAUUCACAGGAGUGUAUCCCUGUUUUGUGAAGAAAACAUAUGAUAAAUGUAUGUGUAACUGAUGGAUAUCAAUGUGAAUUUUAAUACAAUAUAUUUGUUUUUGUU